UAGGGAAUCUUCCACAAUGGACGCAGCNGAUGGAGCAACGCCGCGUGAGUGAAGAAGGUCUUCGGAUCGUAAAACUCUGUUGUUAGAGAAGAACACGAGUGAGAGUAACUGUUCAUUCGAUGACGGUAUCUAACCAGCAAGUCACGGCUAACUCGUGCCAG
rnacentral:rRNA from 1 species